ACACAGACGUGUGAGUGAGCCUCUUUUCGCUGGAUUUCAGUACCUACUACGUAUUACCGUGUUAUGUAAGACUAGAAUGACGAUUUGCUCAUAAUCUGUGAAACGUCGACAUCGUCGGCGAUAUUCUUGCUUGACACGUGACAAACGCCAAUCACAAUGUGCAAAAAUUUGGAGAAUGCUCUUCACUGCCGUCCGCCAUUACGGAAGAAGACUGACCAACAGAUCUUGUUUAGAAUUAUUAUUGUACUCGAUCUGAUAGAAUCUGCGUUAUUACAACAGAAGGAAUAGACGCAUCUGAAGUGUCGCCUAUUUGAGAAAGAAGAUUGGUGACGUCAGCCUCGUGAUUCGGAGCUUUUUCACGUCGCAGAAUCGACACUCUGGAUACAAAGCUGCGAUGCGACGAUUUCAACGCGAUCGAUUUAUGGACUGGGCCAGCCUUCGCUAUCCGCCCUGCAGCCUCCGUGCAACCUCUACCGAUCGUCAUUCGUCUCGAUACUCUUAACGGGCUUCAGAUCUGCCUGUGUUCCGGUUCGAUUAUACGAAAACAGUCAACCAUUGACAGACCAACGAGGGAUUCCCAAUCAUGGAUCACCGAGAUUUCUGCAGGAAAACCAGACGUCCUCUAACAAAGAAUUCAAACUUGUAACAACCAGGGAACACAAUGCAGCUCACUUGCCCUGCAGUCAUCGUCCACACCGCACAAGAAGGCUUCGUUACGGAUAACAAGUAGACAAUGUGCCGGUCUAUACUGUUAUUUGCGAAUCUUUGUGAUG